rnacentral:rRNA from 1 species
UGGGGAAUUUUGGACAAUGGGGGCAACCCUGAUCCAGCAAUGCCGCGUGUGUGAAGAAGGCCUUCGGGUUGUAAAGCACUUUUGUCCGGGAAAAGAAAAACGUCGUGGUUAAUACCCGUGGCGGCUGACGGUACCGGAAGAAUAAGCACCGGCUAACUACGUGCCAGCAGCCGCGGUAAUACGUAGGGUGCAAGCGUUAAUCGGAAUUACUGGGCGUAAAGCGUGCGCAGGCGGUCCGCUAAGACAGAUGUGAAAUCCCCGGGCUUAACCUGGGAACUGCAUUUGUGACUGGCGGGCUAGAGUAUGGCAGAGGGGGGUAGAAUUCCACGUGUAGCAGUGAAAUGCGUAGAGAUGUGGAGGAAUACCGAUGGCGAAGGCAGCCCCCUGGGCCAAUACUGACGCUCAUGCACGAAAGCGUGGGGGAGCAAACAGGAUUAGAUACCCUGGUAGUCCACGCCCUAAACGAUGUCAACUAGUUGUCGGGUCUUCAUUUUCCUUAGUAACGUAGCUAACGCGUGAAGUUGACCGCCUGGGGAGUACGGUCGC